ACCAAAUCAUAACAAAGUAUUUGGCAACACGGUGCCUUCUUUUGCCGCUAAAUUUGACUUGACGUCACUCAGACAAAGAGGUAGAAAAAGCUGGGACGGAAUUUUGAUCAAUUUCAAUUCAUCAAUCACAAGUACUUAAUUUAAGCAGGUUCCGCGGAAAACAUUUGCUUCAGGUAAGAGAUGAAAUGAAAAUACAUAUAGAGCAUUGGAAUUUAAUAAGAAACUGAUUAAUUUCAGGUAAAACGGAAACAAAUACUAUUAAAUUUUGUAGAAGAAAGCAUCGAGAAGACGGAUAUAACAAAAUAUCUCCCCGGGAAAGACAGUGUUGAGCUGUUCUAAUCGAGAAUCCAAAGUAAGAGCAAUGCCAUCAGUACAGCUCAUCGAUUUCCUCAACGAAAGCAACGUGAUCCUCAAUUGAACGGAAUCAUUCAACUCAACCCGCUGAAGAUCAAAAGCGAGCGCUGGAAAUCAUCAUCUCCUGCAAGUAUGAUGGAACGGCUCAGAAUGCAAGACCGUCCGAUUUAAUAUCUGAUGAAAAUGUACCGGGAACCGAUCAUGAUGCUAUUUGUUGGGUCAUCUUCUUCUGUACCUAUCCAUGCACCUAUCGCUAUCGCACUUGAACAUUGUGGUUCCUCUCAAAGUGGAGACAGCUCCAAUACCGAGGCCAAAACGUAAAAGAAAGCAUCACCAUCGAUAUCACAUAUUCUUGGAUCUUU